GAUCAUAUUCUCAGAUCAAAGACUAAGCCAUGCAUGUCCAAGACUAAACAAGUUGUCAGUGAAUCUGCGUAUGGCUCAAUAAACGAACCAUCACCUCCCCGAGGACAAAGUACAACUGGAUAACCGUUGUAAUUCAAGGGCUAAUCAUGCACCAAAAGGGGCUUCGCAAGAAACUCCUGCAUUUGUUAGCUUCAAAUCAACACUUUUGUGAUGAAUCAUGACAAACUGCGGAACCACAUGUUGCAAAAAACGGUGGUUGACUCGGUCGGGUCUUUCCCCUAUCAGAUUGUUGUUAAGGUAUUGGCUUAACAAGUCUUUGACGGGUAACGGAGAAUUAGGGUUCGAUUCCGGAGAGGGAGCCUGAGGGACGGCUACCACAUCUAAGGAAGGCAGCAGGCGCGCAAAUUUCCCAAUGUUCAUCGAACGAGGAAGUGACGAUCAAUAAUAAUGUGCGAGGUUUACCUUGUGCAAUUAGAAUGAACUAAAGUUAAAACGCUAAAUGACGAUCAAUUGGAGGGCAAGUCUGGUUGCCAGCAGCCGCGGUAAUUCCAGCUCCAAUAGGAUAUAUCAAUGUUGUUGCAGUUGAAAAGCUCGUAGUCGUAUUUCUGGUGGGUUGAUGUCCUGGUUUGCGAUUGGGGAAACCCGAGCGCAGCUUUGGGCCGCCUGCCAUUUUGUGGGCAAAAGUUAAGCAAGUGUUCGUAAGAACGUUUGUUUAGCUCCACUCCGUCACUGAGAGCAAAAUGGAGUGCUCAAAGCAAGCUUUAUAGCUUUGAACAUCUUAGCUUGGAAUGACAAAGUACGACUACUCGUUCACUUUGUUGGUUAUGAACAAGAAGUAAUGAUAAAUAGGAACAGUUGCGGGGGUACUCGUACUGGAAAGUCAGAGGUGAAAUUCUUGGAUUUUUCCACGACGAACGACUGCGAAAGCAUUUACCAAGGAUGUUUUCAUUGAUCAAGAACGAAAGUGCGAGGAUCGAAGAUGAUUAGAUACCAUCGUAGUUCGCACAGUAAACGAUGCCGACUCGGGAUUGAGGUCUUAUUCGCUUAUAGAAGGACCUCAGCACCGUAUGAGAAACCAAAGUCUUUGGGUUCCGGGGGGAGUAUGGUCGCAAGGUUGAAACUUAAAGGAAUUGACGGAAGGGCACACCAGAGGUGGAGCCUGCGGUUUAAUUUGACUCAACACGGGGAAACUCACCAGGUCCAGACAUGAGAAGGAUUGACAGUUUGAAAGCACUUUCUUGAUUUCAUGGGUGGUGGUGCAUGGCCAUUCUUAGUUGGUGGAGUGAUUUGUCUGGUUGAUUCCGAUAACGAACGAGACUCUCAGAGUAAACUGGCCCAGGUCGUAACUCACGUUACUUCCGGCCUCUUUUCUCGACAAUUCGUUUCAAGCGAAAGGAAGCAGAGAGCAAUAACAGGUCUGUGAUGCCCCUCGAUGUUCUGGGCUACACGCGCGCUACAAUGACGAGUUCAACGAGUUAUUUCUCCUUGCCCGGAAGGGUGUGGGUAAUCUUUUCAAUGCUCGUCGUGAUGGGGCUAGAUUUUUGCAAUUAUUAAUCUUCAACGAGGAAUCUCUAGUAUGUGCAGUUCAUCAGACUGCGCAUAAUGCGUCCCUGCCCUUUGUACACACCGCCCGUCGCACCUACCGAUUGGACGAUCCGGCAAGAUGUUUGGAGUUGUGUUUAUUGCAUUUUCGGAUGUGAUUAACGUGACGAAGCUCCUCAAACCUUAUCGUCUAGAGGAA
rnacentral:rRNA from 1 species